AGACCUUAACCUGCUAAAUAGCCAGGUUGACUUUUGUCGGCCGCCGGCUUCUUAGAGGGACUUUUGGCUCAAGCCAAUGGAAGUACGAGGCAAUAACAGGUUAACCUUGAGUUACAACUCAUCACAGGCCUGUAACAGUGAACCUCGUUAAAAAAAAUCACUAGUUGAGUACCUUCAUCUCUCUAGGUGGAAGUCCACCGAACUGUCGGGUAGAGAGAACUCCUUCGGGGGUGUGGUGCCAGCGAGACAAC
rnacentral:rRNA from 1 species